rnacentral:rRNA from 1 species
GUCUACGGCCAUACCACCCUGAAUGUGCCUGAUCUCAUCUGAUCUCAGAAGCUAGGCAGGGUCGGCCUGGUGAGUACUUGGAUGGGAGAAU